AUGGUAGUUCAAGUGAAGCAAAAUGAGCAGGAUCUAAAGAGAGAUUUCAAAGCUGUAAAAGACUUAAUAUCUGAAAGUGGUUUUGGAUGGGAUCGUGACAGAAAGAUGGUGGUGGUGCCCGAUAAUGUUUGGGCUGCACUAGAGGCACGUAAAAACAAGGAUGCACUCUUCUGGCGAGGAAAGUCAUUUCCAUAUUAUGAAGAUCUUUUUGCUCUAUAUGAUGGACGCUAUGCUCAGGGAAGGAGUUGCCAUGGCAUGGAUUAUUAUGCGAACAAAGCAACUCAGCUCUCACAGUUACCAACAUCACAUUCACCACAACAGCAAGGGCUAGAGGCGCAUCUGCACACACCUACACCAACCAUACAUGCUCCUGGUGAUUCAUCCAUGCAAUUUGACAUUGAAGAGGAUAGUGAAAACACAAACAGGUUUUCUAGCAAUAAUACAUUCAGUCAAGUGGAGGCAAACCCGACUCAAGGAAAUGACUUGACAUUACAUGCUCCAUCCCAAGUUGAAACAGUACCAAUUUCCUCACAGCGCGUUGGACAGACUUUGCAUGAAAUUCCACAAGUUGUACAUCGCAAUCCUCGACCAGCUAGCUCAGCUCCUGAGGUUACUAGCACCAAGAGAGCGAGAAAGCAAAAGAUGACCAGUAUUGACAAUUUUCAUGAGAGAUACCUGAAACUGAGAAGGGAAGAAAUAGAUAGGUAUGCAGCCAUUGAGGAGAGGAAAUUAAGGGACCCGUUCAGCAUCAAGAAAUGCAUCAAAGCACUGGAAAGGUUGGAGGGUCUUUCGAUGGCAGAUAUGCUAAAAGCAGCGGACAUCUUUACUGCCAACAAGGAGAACAGGGAGGUAUUUCUAUCAUUUUCAAGUAACGAAUUACGGUUGGGUUGGUUGACUGAAAAAAUUCGGAAUACCUAA
rnacentral:rRNA from 1 species